rnacentral:rRNA from 1 species
AGCGCACGCGGCGCGGUAAGUCUGAUGUGAAAGCCCAGGGCUCAAACCCGGGACUGCAUUGGAAAAC